rnacentral:rRNA from 1 species
GUCCUACGGGACGCAGCAGUGGGGAAUAUUGGGCAAUGGGCGCAAGCCUGACCCAGCAACGCCGCGCGAAGGAAGAAGGCUUUCGGGUUGUAAACUUCUUUUGUCAGGGACGAAGCAAGUGACGGUACCUGACGAAUAAGCCACGGCUAACUACGUGCCAGCAGCCGCGGUAAUACGUAUGGUGCAAGCGUUAUCCGGAUUUACUGGGUGUAAAGGGAGCGCAGGCGGCACGGCAAGCCUGAUGUGAAAGCCCGCGGCCCAACCGCGGGACUGCAUUGGGAACUACCGGGCUGGAGUGCCGGAGA